rnacentral:rRNA from 1 species
UAGCUGGCGGCAUGCUUUACACAUGCAAGUCGGACGGCAGCACGAGUACUUGUACUUGGUGGCGAGUGGCGAACGGGUGAGUAAUAUAUUGGAACGUACCGAGUAAUGGGGGAUAACUAUCCGAAAGGAUAGCUAAUACCGCAUACGCUUUGAGAAGGAAAGCAGGGGAUCUUCGGACCUUGCGUUAUUCGAGCGGCCAAUAACUGAUUAGCUAGUUGGUGGGGUAAGGGCCCACCAAGGCGACGAUCAGUAGUGGGUCUGAGAGGAUGAUCCGCCACACUGGGACUGAGACACGGCCCAGACUCCUACGGGAGGCAGCAGUGGGGAAUUUUGGACAAUGGGCGAAAGCCUGAUCCAGCCAUGCCGCGUGUCUGAAGAAGGCCUUCGGGUUGUAAAGGACUUUUGUUAGGGAAGAAAAGGUUGAUGCUAAUAUCAUUAACUGAUGACGGUACCUAAAGAAUAAGCACCGGCUAACUACGUGCCAGCAGCCGCGGUAAUACGUAGGG